rnacentral:rRNA from 1 species
GACGAACGCUGGCGGCGCGCCUAACACAUGCAAGUCGAACGGAGUCAAGAGGAGCUUGCUUUUCUUGACUUAGUGGCGAACGGGUGAGUAACGCGUGAGUAACCUGCCCUGGAGUGGGGGACAACAGUUGGAAACGACUGCUAAUACCGCAUAAGCCCACGGAUCUGCAUGGAUCUGCGGGAAAAGGAUUUAUUCGCUCUAGGAUGGACUCGCGCCCAAUUAGCUAGUUGGUGAGGUAACGGCCCACCAAGGCGACGAUUGGUAGCCGGACUGAGAGGUUGAACGGCCACAUUGGGACUGAGACACGGCCCAGACUCCUACGGGAGGCAGCAGUGGGGGAUAUUGCACAAUGGGGGAAACCCUGAUGCAGCGACGCCGCGUGGAGGAAGAAGGUUUUCGGAUUGUAAACUCCUGUCGUGAGGGACGAUAAUGACGGUACCUAACAAGAAAGCACCGGCUAACUACGUG